rnacentral:rRNA from 1 species
AACAAACGCUGGCGGCGUGCCUAACACAUGCAAGUCGUACGAGAAAGUCGGCUUCGGCCGAUGAGUACAGUGGCGCACGGGUGAGUAGCGCGUGGGUAAUCUGCCCCCCGGUCAGGAAUAACCCGCCGAAAGGCGGGCUAAUACCCGAUAACACUGACGCUCCGCGGAGCGUCUUUCAAAGAAGGCCUCUGUUUACAAGCUUUCGCCGGAGGAUGAGCCCGCGUACCAUUAGCUAGUUGGCAGGGUAAUGGCCUACCAAGGCUACGAUGGUUAGCUGGUCUGAGAGGAUGGCCAGCCACACUGGAACUGAGACACGGUCCAGACUCCUACGGGAGGCAGCAGUGAGGAAUCUUGCGCAAUGGGGGAAACCCUGACGCAGCAACGCCGCGUGAGUGAGGAAGGCCUUGGGUCGUAAAGCUCUGUCAGAUGGGAAGAAAUGGAUGGGGGCUAAUAUCGCCCAUCCUUGACGGUACCAUCAGAGGAAGCACCGGCUAACUCCGUCG